rnacentral:rRNA from 1 species
UUCGUCACACUAUCAUUAACUGAAUCCAUAGGUUAAUGAGGCGAACCGGGGGAACUGAAACAUCUAAGUACCCCGAGGAAAAGAAAUCAACCGAGAUUCCCCCAGUAGCGGCGAGCGAACGGGGAGCAGCCCAGAGCCUGAAUCAGUGUGUGUGUUAGUGGAAGCGUCUGGAAAGGCGCGCGAUACAGGGUGACAGCCCCGUACACAAAAAUGCACAUACUGUGAGCUCGAUGAGUAGGGCGGGACACGUGGUAUCCUGUCUGAAUAUGGGGGGACCAUCCUCCAAGGCUAAAUACUCCUGACUGACCGAUAGUGAACCAGUACCGUGAGGGAAAGGCGAAAAGAACCCCGGCGAGGGGAGUGAAAAAGAACCUGAAACCGUGUACGUACAAGCAGUGGGAGCACGCUUAGGCGUGUGACUGCGUACCUUUUGUAUAAUGGGUCAGCGACUUAUAUUCUGUAGCAAGGUUAACCGAAUAGGGGAGCCGAAGGGAAACCGAGUCUUAACUGGGCGUUAAGUUGCAGGGUAUAGACCCGAAACCCGGUGAUCUAGCCAUGGGCAGGUUGAAGGUUGGGUAACACUAACUGGAGGACCGAACCGACUAAUGUUGAAAAAUUAGCGGAUGACUUGUGGCUGGGGGUGAAAGGCCAAUCAAACCGGGAGAUAGCUGGUUCUCCCCGAAAGCUAUUUAGGUAGCGCCUCGUGAAUUCAUCUCCGGGGGUAGAGCACUGUUUCGGCAAGGGGGUCAUCCCGACUUACCAACCCGAUGCAAACUGCGAAUACCGGAGAAUGUUAUCACGGGAGACACACGGCGGGUGCUAACGUCCGUCGUGAAGAGGGAAACAACCCAGACCGCCAGCUAAGGUCCCAAAGUCAUGGUUAAGUGGGAAACGAUGUGGGAAGGCCCAGACAGCCAGGAUGUUGGCUUAGAAGCAGCCAUCAUUUAAAGAAAGCGUAAUAGCUCACUGGUCGAGUCGGCCUGCGCGGAAGAUGUAACGGGGCUAAACCAUGCACCGAAGCUGCGGCAGCGACGCUUAUGCGUUGUUGGGUAGGGGAGCGUUCUGUAAGCCUGUGAAGGUGUACUGUGAGGUAUGCUGGAGGUAUCAGAAGUGCGAAUGCUGACAUAAGUAACGAUAAAGCGGGUGAAAAGCCCGCUCGCCGGAAGACCAAGGGUUCCUGUCCAACGUUAAUCGGGGCAGGGUGAGUCGACCCCUAAGGCGAGGCCGAAAGGCGUAGUCGAUGGGAAACAGGUUAAUAUUCCUGUACUUGGUGUUACUGCGAAGGGGGGACGGAGAAGGCUAUGUUGGCCGGGCGACGGUUGUCCCGGUUUAAGCGUGUAGGCUGGUUUUCCAGGCAAAUCCGGAAAAUCAAGGCUGAGGCGUGAUGACGAGGCACUACGGUGCUGAAGCAACAAAUGCCCUGCUUCCAGGAAAAGCCUCUAAGCAUCAGGUAACAUCAAAUCGUACCCCAAACCGACACAGGUGGUCAGGUAGAGAAUACCAAGGCGCUUGAGAGAACUCGGGUGAAGGAACUAGGCAAAAUGGUGCCGUAACUUCGGGAGAAGGCACGCUGAUAUGUAGGUGAAGUCCCUCGCGGAUGGAGCUGAAAUCAGUCGAAGAUACCAGCUGGCUGCAACUGUUUAUUAAAAACACAGCACUGUGCAAACACGAAAGUGGACGUAUACGGUGUGACGCCUGCCCGGUGCCGGAAGGUUAAUUGAUGGGGUUAGCGCAAGCGAAGCUCUUGAUCGAAGCCCCGGUAAACGGCGGCCGUAACUAUAACGGUCCUAAGGUAGCGAAAUUCCUUGUCGGGUAAGUUCCGACCUGCACGAAUGGCGUAAUGAUGGCCAGGCUGUCUCCACCCGAGACUCAGUGAAAUUGAACUCGCUGUGAAGAUGCAGUGUACCCGCGGCAAGACGGAAAGACCCCGUGAACCUUUACUAUAGCUUGACACUGAACAUUGAGCCUUGAUGUGUAGGAUAGGUGGGAGGCUUUGAAGUGUGGACGCCAGUCUGCAUGGAGCCGACCUUGAAAUACCACCCUUUAAUGUUUGAUGUUCUAACGUGGACCCGUAAUCCGGGUUGCGGACAGUGUCUGGUGGGUAGUUUGACUGGGGCGGUCUCCUCCUAAAGAGUAACGGAGGAGCACGAAGGUUGGCUAAUCCUGGUCGGACAUCAGGAGGUUAGUGCAAUGGCAUAAGCCAGCUUGACUGCGAGCGUGACGGCGCGAGCAGGUGCGAAAGCAGGUCAUAGUGAUCCGGUGGUUCUGAAUGGAAGGGCCAUCGCUCAACGGAUAAAAGGUACUCCGGGGAUAACAGGCUGAUACCGCCCAAGAGUUCAUAUCGACGGCGGUGUUUGGCACCUCGAUGUCGGCUCAUCACAUCCUGGGGCUGAAGUAGGUCCCAAGGGUAUGGCUGUUCGCCAUUUAAAGUGGUACGCGAGCUGGGUUUAGAACGUCGUGAGACAGUUCGGUCCCUA